UACGUAGGGGGCAGGCGUUGUCCGGAUUUAUUGGGCGUAAAGAGCGCGUAGGCGGCCUGACAGGUCAGCUGUGAAAACUCGAGGCUCAACCUCGAGACGUCGGUUGAAACCAUCUGGCUAGAGUCCGGAAGAGGAGAGUGGAAUUCCCGGUGUAGCGGUGAAAUGCGCAGAUAUCGGGAAGAACACCCGUGGCGAAGGCGGCUCUCUGGGACGGUACUGACGCUGAGACGCGAAAGCGUGGGGAGCGAACAGG
rnacentral:rRNA from 1 species